rnacentral:rRNA from 1 species
GAUGAACGCUGGCGGCGUGCCUAAUACAUGCAAGUCGAGCGAAUGGAUUAAGAGCUUGCUCUUAUGAAGUUAGCGGCGGACGGGUGAGUAACACGUGGGUAACCCGCCCAUAAGACUGGGAUAACUCCGGGAAACCGGGGCUAAUACCGGAUAACAUUUUGAACCGCAUGGUUCGAAAUCGAAAGGCGGCUUCGGCUGUCACUUAUGGAUAGACCCGCGUCGCAUUGGCUAGUUGGUGAGGUAACGGCUCACCAAGGCAACGAUGCGUAGCCGACCUGAGAGGGUGAUCGGCCACACUGGGACUGAGACACGGCCCAGACUCCUACGGGAGGCAGCAGUAGGGAAUCUCCCGCAAUGGACGAAAGUCUGACGGAGCAACGCCGCGUGAGUGAUGAAGGCUUGCGGGUCGUAAAACUCUGUUGUUAGGGAAGAACAAGUGCUAGUUGAAUAAGCUGACACCUUGACGGUACCUAACCAGAAAGCCACGGCUAACUACGUGCCAGCCGCCGCCGUAA